rnacentral:rRNA from 1 species
AUGCGCUAUGAUGAGCGGUACACACCAUAUGUAAGGGAGAUAGGACUUCUCCCUUUCAUUCAGUUGGUCAGUCGAUCGACGCCACCCAACAAUGCUGCAACACUCACCGCGCUUAUUGAUCAUUGGAGGCCGGAGACACACAGUUUCCAUCUUCAGACCGGGGAGAUGACCGUGACGCUCCAGGAUAUGGCUAUGAUCACCGGUCUUCCUAUCGAUGGGAAUCCUCUAUGUAUGAACACCGAUUCUGAUGGGUGGCGCGCACAGAUGCAUGCCCUUAUCGGUAUGGUUCCUUCAGAGCCUCGGGAACCAGAAGCAUAA